CUUGACCGAACCCAGGUACAGCGGGUGGUCGGCGCUGCGCUCCCGGCCGUAGGUGGCCAGCAGCGCCUGCGCCUC
rnacentral:antisense_RNA from 1 species